rnacentral:lncRNA from 1 species
GGGCACUGUAAAAUUUCCCUGUAUGAGAGUCCAACUUCUGUAUUUCCAAGGUAACUACCAUAUUUGGAAGCAUCCCCCAGUGAAAUCCAAGGAAGAGGAAGGUUGUUAUCCUUGAAAGUAAGAUCUUAAUUCCAGAUCACAAUUCUUCCCUUCAGGACCAAAGUGCAGACAAAGUACAAGUUACCUGCCACUUGAUACAAUGACAUGGCUCGUCUAUAUCAAGAGGACCAUAAAAAUGCAAAAUGUAACAACAUUCUAAAGCAAUUAGGUUGGAACAAUGAAAAGUCAUUAUGAAAACACAGAUCCUGUGCCUUGGGGGAAGAAUGCCAAGUCCUUGGUUCAGAGAGACAGAAGUAAGGGUAGGUCCAGCAGUAAGUAAGAGCUGAUGACAUGAUGGUGAAGAGGAUACCUUUCAGAAGCUCCAAGGGCUAAAGUCUUGGGAAUACUUAAAUGUACUACAGCAUGUUUUAUCAGGAUUUGAUAAAGUGGACAGAAGCAGAGGGUGCAUAGAGGCAGAGCCUGAAACCAUGUCUUUAGGGGAAAGGUUUUUCUUACUACAUAGAUAGCAUUUAUUUAGUCAGUGAUGAAUGUCUAUCAUGUAUAUAUUCAGAAAACAUUAUAAUGAAGACUAGUGUGUCUGGAAUGACUCAAGAUAGAGAAUGAGUGUUUACAUUCUAUUGGAAAAGUCUAGGAGGUGGAUCCAAGUAUUAAUUAAAUAAUCCAUAUUCAACAAAUGGCUUAUAACAAAUGUUUUAAUUCUAUAAGAAAACUAAAUUCCAUUUUGAAAUAAAAGAUAGAGAUUUCUUAAUGAUUACCCCA